rnacentral:rRNA from 1 species
UACGGAGGAUGCAAGCGUUAUCCGGAAUUAUUGGGCGUAAAGCGUCCGUAGGUGGCUAAUCAAGUCUGCUGUCAAAGCGUGGAGCUUAACUCCAUACCGGCGGUGGAAACUGAUGAGCUAGAGUGCGAUAGGGGUAGCAGGAAUUCCCAGUGUAGCGGUGAAAUGCGUAGAUAUGUGGAGGAAUACCGAUGGCGAAGGCAGCCCCCUGGGAUAACACUGACGCUCAUGCACGAAAGCGUGGGGAGCAAACAGG